GGCUGGUCUGAAGGUACUGAGUUAUCUCAACUGAUUGUUCCCAGUCAGUUAUAGACUGAACUCCUGGUUCUAUUUCUUCUCCCCUUCUCACUACCGCACUUGACUAGUCUUAA
ensembl:Y_RNA Y_RNA Y RNA